GACCUCCGAAGCCUGAGCCUCAGCUCCCAGCCCCUGCCCGCCCCGGCGGGUGAGCAGACAAGCCUCUCGGGCUGGCAACACCGAUACCAGGAUGCAGCCAGUGUGCGUGAGAAGCAGACGUGAGCAGAGAGAGUGAGAAAGAGGAAGAUGAGAAGAAAGUGAGGGAGAAUUAAGGAGCUGAGUGGACAAAGGUGGAGAGAGAAUGCUGUGAUCUCCCAAACAUUCAUAAUUUUUAUCCCAUCACAUGUAAAUUGAAGUGUUUCCUGGUGGCACAGUGGUUAAGAAUCGGCCUGCCAAUGCAGGGGACAUGGCUUCGAGCCCUGGUCCAGGAAGAUCCCACAUGCCAUGGAGCAACUAAGCCUGUGCGCCAAAACUACUGAGCCUGUGCUCUAGAGCCCAUGAGCCACAACUACUGAAGCCCACGCACCUAGAGCCUGUGCUCUGCAACAAAGAGAAGCCACUGCAAUGAGAAGCCCAUGCACCGCAAUGAAGAGUAGCCCUCACUGGCCAGAACUAGAGAAAAGCCUCC